rnacentral:lncRNA from 1 species
ACUUGUGAUUGCAGUUAAAUACAGUUGAGAUCAGUCCUUUGAUGGGUCGCUCUGAGUUGCCACAGUGUCCAGUGGUUAUGUGGAAUCCCAACCCACACCAUGAGCCUCAGUGGCUCCGCCAAAACAAGUCUAAAUCUCCAAACAUCACUAUAAAAGAGUUAGUCUGCCUUCCAUCCAAGCCGUCCAUAGUGGCCAACCAGCGGAAGAAGAGUAACGGUCGUAAAAGGAGAGGGAAGAGAGGAAUUAACUCUACACAAGAGGGCGCUGGCAGCCCACGGUGGGUGGGCAUUGGCUUUAAUCCCAUUCCCAAAACCACCCCACAUCACCUCUCCCACAGCCUAGCGGUCAAAGAUAGUGGGUGGGGAUCAUUGGAUCAAAAACUGCCAAGCCUAACCACACCACACCCAAACCCAAAGAGCAGUAGUGUCAGUCCAGCCUUGAGCCUGAGUUUAGAAUCAGUAAAGUGCUGGAGAGGCCACUGAAACAGACCUAAACAGAUCUCAUACUUAUGCCACAUUAAGAAGACAAAGGUUUUUAACUGUAAAUGAAAAGUCUGUUCCAUAAGUAGUUAGUCGUGUCCAAUGAUUGUCUUGAAAGUCAAUUCCUAUUUUAAACAUAGACUAGUUUCAACAAAUAAUUAAAAUGUAGCCUACGUGGUUUGUUUUUCACUGCCUGAACAGUUAAUCUAUUCACAAAUGUGCAUUAUGAUGAUAAACAGC